GACGAACGCUGGCGGCGUGCUUAACACAUGCAAGUCGAACGGAAAGGCCCUGCUUUUGUGGGGUGCUCGAGUGGCGAACGGGUGAGUAACACGUGAGUAACCUGCCCUUGACUUUGGGAUAACUUCAGGAAACUGGGGCUAAUACCGGAUAGGAGCUCCUGCUGCAUGGUGGGGGUUGGAAAGUUUCGGCGGUUGGGGAUGGACUCGCGGCUUAUCAGCUUGUUGGUGGGGUAGUGGCUUACCAAGGCUUUGACGGGUAGCCGGCCUGAGAGGGUGACCGGCCACAUUGGGACUGAGAUACGGCCCAGACUCCUACGGGAGGCAGCAGUGGGGAAUAUUGCACAAUGGGCGGAAGCCUGAUGCAGCAACGCCGCGUGCGGGAUGACAGCCUUCGGGUUGUAAACCGCUUUCGCCUGUGACGAAGCGUGAGUGACGGUAAUGGGUAAAGAAGCACCGGCUAACUACGUGCCAGCAGCCGCGGUGAUACGUAGGGUGCGAGCGUUGUCCGGAUUUAUUGGGCGUAAAGGGCUCGUAGGUGGUUGAUCGCGUCGGAAGUGUAAUCUUGGGGCUUAACCCUGAGCGUGCUUUCGAUACGGGUUGACUUGAGGAAGGUAGGGGAGAGUGGAAUUCCUGGUGGAGCGGUGGAAUGCGCAGAUAUCAGGAGGAACACCAGUGGCGAAGGCGGUUCUCUGGGCCUUUCCUGACGCUGAGGAGCGAAAGCGUGGGGAGCGAACAGGCUUAGAUACCCUGGUAGUCCACGCUGUAAACGGUGGGUACUAGGUGUGGGGUCCAUUCCACGGGUUCCGUGCCGUAGCUAACGCUUUAAGUACCCCGCCUGGGGAGUACGGCCGCAAGGCUAAAACUCAAAGGAAUUGACGGGGCCCCGCACAAGCGGCGGAGCAUGCGGAUUAAUUCGAUGCAACGCGUAGAACCUUACCUGGGUUUGACAUGGAUCGGGAGUGCUCAGAGAUGGGUGUGCCUCUUUUGGGGUCGGUUCACAGGUGGUGCAUGGCUGUCGUCAGCUCGUGUCGUGAGAUGUUGGGUUAAGUCCCGCAACGAGCGCAACCCUUGUUCACUGUUGCCAGCACGUUAUGGUGGGGACUCAGUGGAGACCGCCGGGGUCAACUCGGAGGAAGGUGGGGAUGACGUCAAGUCAUCAUGCCCCUUAUGUCCAGGGCUUCACGCAUGCUACAAUGGCUGGUACAGAGAGUGGCGAGCCUGUGAGGGUGAGCGAAUCUCGGAAAGCCGGUCUCAGUUCGGAUUGGGGUCUGCAACUCGACCUCAUGAAGUCGGAGUCGCUAGUAAUCGCAGAUCAGCAACGCUGCGGUGAAUACGUUCCCGGG
rnacentral:rRNA from 1 species